rnacentral:lncRNA from 1 species
CUGCAUUUUCCUCGGAGCAGUUGGUAUUCCCCCCUCCUCUCACCCUCUUUGAACAGACGGGCAUUCGGGGAAUGGGGGGAGGGGACACAGCAUGGCGGGGGUUCCUUGCUCCCUUAGCCAGGGCGGUUGACUCGCACCCUGCUGCAGGACGGAGAAGGCAGCCGCUUGGAAACCCCGGGCUUCAGUCCUCAGCCGGGUCUCUGGAUGUAGACCCCCGGAGUCUGUCUUCUGAGACCGACAAGGCUUGUCAAUGGGCAACACAGGCUCCGGGACUUCCGGAAACAGUUUCUCAAGAAACAUUUCUGAAACUGCUUGGUUAAGGAUGACUCCCGCAAGGGCGGCUGUCACCUGCCUGCUGGGCCCGCACCGGGAGACUUGUCUACACAUAAACUGUGCAGGUUAAAGACAGGCCAGGCCAAAGAAAUAAGCUUGCAGAGGAGAGAGGGUUUUCACCUAUUUUCUUCCCUACCCCAAUCCCUGAAAGUUUUCUCAGAACCUGGAGGGCCCAGCAUGAGCAACUUCCUGGGCUGGGGCUUGGCCAGGGAGGCAGGUGCCUGCCAGGGCAGGCAGGGACCACUCCCUGUCAUCGUAACAAAAGAUAACACAGAAGCAGAUGGGAGAAAAGUCUGGGGAGAAACAACAUGAGCAGAAAACCACAGAAAUUGCAGAUGACCCAGGCAAGUUUGAAAAAUUGGCCUCUUACGAGCCUCUGUCAAGAGAGAACAAGAUGAAGAGUUCAAAGUCGCAAAGUGUGGUCUUGCCUUACCUCAGAAGUCAUGGGACGGUAGAAACAAUAAAGGAAGUGUCACAAGCCCUGAGGAAGUCUCCAAGCUGGCUGGGGCUCCUGAUGAAGGUGCUGGUAGGAGCUCAGCGGAUGUGUCUGGGCUAAUGAGGGCUCUGUGGCUGG